rnacentral:rRNA from 1 species
UGAGUAACCUGCCCUUCACUCUGGGAUAACUCCGGGAAACCGGGGCUAAUACUGGAUAUGACUCGAACAGGCAUCUGUUUCGGGUGGAAAGAUUUAUUGGUGGAGGAUGGACUCGCGGCCUAUCAGCUUGUUGGUGAGGUAAUGGCUCACCAAGGCGACGACGGGUAGCCGGCCUGAGAGGGCGAUCGGCCACACUGGGACUGGAGACACCGGCCCAGACCUCCGUACGGGGAGCA